UACGUAGGGUGCAAGCGUUGUCCGGAAUUAUUGGGCGUAAAGAGCUCGUAGGCGGUUUGUCGCGUCGAAUGUGAAAACCCGGGGCUCAACCCCGGGCCGCAUUCGAUACGGGCAGACUAGAGUUCGGUAGGGGAGUCUGGAAUUCCUGGGUGUAGCGGUGAAAUGCGCAGAUAUCUGGAGGAACACCGGUGGCGAAGGCGGCAGUCC
rnacentral:rRNA from 1 species